rnacentral:tmRNA from 1 species
GGGGGUGAUGUGGUUUCGACGGUAUUAAAGCGACAUUAAACUGCAUACCGUGCUUCCCGAUGUGCACGUUAAAGAAGUCGGGAAAAAAGAAACGACAACUAUAACUACGCUUUAGCUGCCUAAUUAACGGCGGCUACAUUCCAUUUUUCCCUUGCCUGCUGGGGAAUUAUGGAAUGUCGAUUUAAGCAGGCUCGUCCCAAACCUCACCAGCGGGGGAGGGAUUAAAUAAAUCAGCUGGUUGGUCGAAAAGGAUCCUGUCCGUUGGAGACUUUUCGACGAGAAUUAAAAAACGGACUAAGUAUGUAGAGGUUUAAUGGGGCUUAAUACCGGACGCGGGUUCGACUCCCGCCACCUCCACCA